CAGGGAGGGGGUUGCCACCUGGGUCUCCCCGGGGGAUCACCCAGAGCCCUGCUUGUACUGAUCUCCCCUACUCCCUUACCAGUUGGUUUCUCUAGGAAGAAUUUUCGUAAUAAAUACUUGCCCUAAACCCUCCCCAUCUCAAGGUCUGUUUCUGGGCAACUCAACUGAAAAUGAAAGCAAACCAAGGAAGGAAAAGGGCCCAAGUGAGUGUAGGGGCACGAAAUCAGUGCACGGGGAAAGAAGAGGCUGUGCAGAGACACCGAAGCAAGGCAGACGGCAGCCCGGCGUCCUUAGGAGUCUCCUAGUUCAGACCGUUCCAGGUAUGGGGUAUGGACCUGGGGGGUAGGGAGCCUUGAUUCUGACAAGCUGAUGAGAGAAAGUGUCCCACAGAGCCCAGAGGAGAAAAGAUCCUUUGUGAGGAUGUUUAGAAUCACAAAUGAGUGUGGGCAAAUUUUGAACUCCUUCAGGGACAUUCUCGUGACAGCGCAGGCAAACGGGAUGGACAGGAAGACCUGAUGUCAGGGAGGGCCCGGUUACCUGUAUUUUUCCCCGACAGGCUUCUGAGGUAAGAGGAUGCUUUAUCGUAUAAAUAUUUACGUUCCUCUGUGCUCAGCACACCUUGCCUACACAAGACAAGCUGGAGACAUGAGACCUGAACAGGAAUGGUCACAGACCUGUAUAGUGCUGCCACUCCCGCCUCGUGUGCUGGGAAACAGUGUGUGUCCACCGCGGGGAGAGAAGACAUCAGUCCUUCUUCGGCCUGUUUUUACAAGCACUGAAAGACACCCGCCGAUGCGCAGCUGCUGUUCAAUGCUGUCCUACAUAAAGACAAUCAUUUCCUGA
rnacentral:lncRNA from 1 species